rnacentral:tRNA from 1 species
CUGUCGAUAGCUCAGUUGGUAGAGCGGUGGACUGUAGUGGUUGAUAGUAAUCCAUAAGCCCGUGGUUCAAAUCCGCCUCGACAGA